CCUUAAUACAUGCAAGUCGGAACGAACUUCUGGUAUUGAAUGGGGCCUGGCAUCAUGAUUUUCCAUUUGAGUGAGUGGCGAACUGGUGAGUAACACGUGGGAAACCUGCCCAGAAGCGGGGGAUAACACCUGGAAACAGAUGCUAAUACCGCAUAACAACUUGGACCGCAUGGUCCGAGCUUGAAAGAUGGUUUGGGUUAUCUCUUGGAGGUGCCCCCGCGGUUUUAUUAAAUUGGGUGGGGGGGGAUCGCCUCUGCCAUGGCAAUGAUACCUACCCGACGGGAGAUGGUCCCCAUCGGGAUUGGACCUGAGACACGGCCCAAACUCCUACGGGAGGCAGCAGUAGGGAAUCUUCCACAAUGGACGAAAGUCUGAUGGAGCAACGCCGCGUGAGUGAAGAAGGGUUUCGGCUCGUAAAACUCUGUUGUUAAAGAAGAACAUAUCUGAGAGUAACUGUUCAGGUAUUGACGGUAUUUAACCAGAAAGCCACGGCUAACUACGUGCCAGCAGCCGCGGUAAUACGUAGGUGGCAAGCGUUGUCCGGAUUUAUUGGGCGUAAAGCGAGCGCAGGCGGUUUUUUAAGUCUGAUGUGAAAGCCUUCGGCUCAACCGAAGAAGUGCAUCGGAAACUGGGAAACUUGAGUGCAGAAGAGGACAGUGGAACUCCAUGUGUAGCGGUGAAAUGCGUAGAUAUAUGGAAGAACACCAGUGGCGAAGGCGGCUGUCUGGUCUGUAACUGACGCUGAGGCUCGAAAGUAUGGGUAGCAAACAGGAUUAGAUACCCUGGUAGUCCAUACCGUAAACGAUGAAUGCUAAGUGUUGGAGGGUUUCCGCCCUUCAGUGCUGCAGCUAACGCAUUAAGCAUUCCGCCUGGGGAGUACGGCCGCAAGGCUGAAACUCAAAGGAAUUGACGGGGGCCCGCACAAGCGGUGGAGCAUGUGGUUUAAUUCGAAGCUACGCGAAGAACCUUACCAGGUCUUGACAUACUAUGCAAAUCUAAGAGAUUAGACGUUCCCUUCGGGGACAUGGAUACAGGUGGUGCAUGGUUGUCGUCAGCUCGUGUCGUGAGAUGUUGGGUUAAGUCCCGCAACGAGCGCAACCCUUAUUAUCAGUUGCCAGCAUUAAGUUGGGCACUCUGGUGAGACUGCCGGUGACAAACCGGAGGAAGGUGGGGAUGACGUCAAAUCAUCAUGCCCCUUAUGACCUGGGCUACACACGUGCUACAAUGGAUGGUACAACGAGUUGCGAACUCGCGAGAGUAAGCUAAUCUCUUAAAGCCAUUCUCAGUUCGGAUUGUAGGCUGCAACUCGCCUACAUGAAGUCGGAAUCGCUAGUAAUCGCGGAUCAGCAUGCCGCGGUGAAUACGUUCCCGGGCCUUGUACACACCGCCCGUCACACCAUGAGAGUUUGUAACACCCAAAGUCGGUGGGGUAACCUUUUAGGAACCAGCCGCCUAAGGUGGGACAGAUGAUUAGGGUGAAGUCGUAACAAGGUAGCCGUAGGAGAACCUGCGGCUGGAUCCCCCCCCUUUUCAAGCUGGAUCACCUCCUUAGAGU
rnacentral:rRNA from 1 species